GACGAACGCUGGCGGCGUGCUUAACACAUGCAAGUCGAACGGUGAAGCGCCUUCCUUUUUGGUGGGUGUGGAUGAGUGGCGAACGGGUGAGUAACACGUGAGUAACCUGCCCCCUUCUUCUGGAUAACCGCAUGAAAGUGUGGCUAAUACGGGAUAUUCUGGGUCUGUCGCAUGAUGGGUCUGGGAAAGAUAUUGUUUCGGUGGGGGAUGGGCUCGCGGCCUAUCAGCUUGUUGGUGGGGUGAUGGCCUACCAAGGCGGUGACGGGUAGCCGGCCUGAGAGGGUGGACGGUCACACGGGGACUGAGACACGGGCCAGACUCCUACGGGAGGCAGCAGUGGGGAAUAUUGCACAAUGGGCGCAAGCCUGAUGCAGCGACGCCGCGUGAGGGAUGGAGGCCUUCGGGUUGUGAACCUCUUUCGCCAGUGAAGCAGGCCUGCCUCGUUUGUGGGUGGGUUGACGGUAGCUGGAUAAGAAGCGCCGGCUAACUACGU
rnacentral:rRNA from 1 species